UGCUAGUCGCGCGGGUUCAGACCCGCGGCAUAUAGCUCAGUAACACGUGGCCAAACUACCCUAUGGACAGGGACAACCUCGGGAAACUGAGGCUAAUCCCUGAUACAGCUCUCACGCUGGAGUGCCGAGAGCUGGAAACGCCCCGGCGCCAUAGGAUGUGGCUGCGGCCGAUUAGGUAGAUGGUGGGGUAAUGGCCCACCAUGCCGAUAAUCGGUACAGGUUGUGAGAGCAAGAGCCUGGAGACGGUAUCUGAGACAAGAUACCGGGCCCUACGGGGCGCAGCAGGCGCGAAACCUUUACACUGCACGACAGUGCGAUAAGGGGACUCCGAGUGCGAGGGCAUAUAGUCCUCGCUUUUCUGUACCGUAGGGAGGUACAGGAACAAGUGCUGGGCAAGACCGGUGCCAGCCGCCGCGGUAAUACCGGCAGCACGAGUGAUGACCGAUAUUAUUGGGCCUAAAGCGUCCGUAGCUGGCCAGACAAGUCCAUUGGGAAAUCCACGCGCUCAACGCGUGGGCGUCCGGUGGAAACUGUUUGGCUUGGGGCCAGAAGACCUGAGGGGUACGUCCGGGAUAGGAGUGAAAUCCCGUAAUCCUGGACGGACCACCGAUGGGGAAACCACCUCAGGAGGAUGGACCCGACAGUGAGGGACGAAAGCUAGGGUCUCGAACCGGAUUAGAUACCCGGGUAGUCCUAGCUGUAAACGAUGCUUGCUAGGUGUGCCGUAGCUACGAGCCUGCGCUGCGCCAUAGGGAAGCCGAGAAGCAAGCCGCCUGGGAAGUACGUCCGCAAGGAUGAAACUUAA
rnacentral:rRNA from 1 species